UAACAGCUCAAAUUUGAAAUCUGGCUCCCCUGGAGUCCGAGUUGUAAUUUGUAGAAGAUGCUUUGGGUUGUGGGUUCGGCCUAAGUUCCUUGGAACAGGACGUCAUAGAGGGUGAGAAUCCCGUACGUGGCCGAGGCCCGCGCCUAUGUAAAGCUCUUUCAACGAGUCGAGUUGUUUGGGAAUGCAGCUCAAAAUGGGUGGUAAAUUUCAUCUAAAGCUAAAUAUGGGCCAGAGACCGAUAGCGCACAAGUAGAGUGAUCGAAAGAUGAAAAGCACUUUGGAAAGAGAGUUAAACAGUACGUGAAAUUGUUGAAAGGGAAGCGCUUGCACCCAGACUUGGGCGCUGUCGAUCACCUUGAGUUCCCCUCGAGUGCACUCGACAGCGCACAGGCCAGCAUCGGUUCGGGUGGCUGGAUAAAGGCCGUAGGAACGUAGCUCCCUCCGGGGAGUGUUAUAGCCUACGGUGCCAUGCAGCCCAGCCGGACCGAGGACCGCGCCUUCGGGCUAGGAUGCUGGCGUAAUGGGUGUAAGCGACCCGUCUUGAAACACGGACCAAGGAGUCUAACAUCUAUGCGAGUGUUUGGGUGGUAAACCCAUACGCGGAAUGAAAGUGAACGUAGGUGAGAACCCCUUUGGGGCGCAUCAUCGACCGAUCCUGAUGUCUUCGG
rnacentral:rRNA from 1 species